CGCUUAGGCGUGUGACUGCGUACCUUUUGUAUAAUGGGUCAGCGACUUAUAUUCUGUAGCAAGGUUAACCGAAUAGGGGAGCCGAAGGGAAACCGAGUCUUAACUGGGCGUUAAGUUGCAGGGUAUAGACCCGAAACCCGGUGAUCUAGCCAUGGGCAGGUUGAAGGUUGGGUAACACUAACUGGAGGACCGAACCGACUAAUGUUGAAAAAUUAGCGGAUGACUUGUGGCUGGGGGUGAAAGGCCAAUCAAACCGGGAGAUAGCUGGUUCUCCCCGAAAGCUAUUUAGGUAGCGCCUCGUGAAUUCAUCUCCGGGGGUAGAGCACUGUUUCGGCAAGGGGGUCAUCCCGACUUACCAACCCGAUGCAAACUGCGAAUACCGGAGAAUGUUAUCACGGGAGACACACGGCGGGUGCUAACGUCCGUCGUGAAGAGGGAAACAACCCAGACCGCCAGCUAAGGUCCCAAAGUCAUGGUUAAGUGGGAAACGAUGUGGGAAGGCCCAGACAGCCAGGAUGUUGGCUUAGAAGCAGCCAUCAUUUAAAGAAAGCGUAAUAGCUCACUGGUCGAGUCGGCCUGCGCGGAAGAUGUAACGGGGCUAAACCAUGCACCGAAGCUGCGGCAGCGACGCUUAUGCGUUGUUGGGUAGGGGAGCGUUCUGUAAGCCUGUGAAGGUGUGCUGUGAGGCAUGCUGGAGGUAUCAGAAGUGCGAAUGCUGACAUAAGUAACGAUAAAGCGGGUGAAAAGCCCGCUCGCCGGAAGACCAAGGGUUCCUGUCCAACGUUAAUCGGGGCAGGGUGAGUCGACCCCUAAGGCGAGGCCGAAAGGCGUAGUCGAUGGGAAACAGGUUAAUAUUCCUGUACUUGGUGUUACUGCGAAGGGGGGACGGAGAAGGCUAUGUUGGCCGGGCGACGGUUGUCCCGGUUUAAGCGUGUAGGCUGGUUUUCCAGGCAAAUCCGGAAAAUCAAGGCUGAGGCGUGAUGACGAGGCACUACGGUGCUGAAGCAACAAAUGCCCUGCUUCCAGGAAAAGCCUCUAAGCAUCAGGUAACAUCAAAUCGUACCCCAAACCGACACAGGUGGUCAGGUAGAGA
rnacentral:rRNA from 1 species